rnacentral:rRNA from 1 species
ACUCCUACGGGAGGCAGCAGUGGGGAAUAUUGGACAAUGGGCGCAAGCCUGAUCCAGCAAUGCCGCGUGUGUGAAGAAGGCCUGCGGGUUGUAAAGCACUUUCAGUGGGGAAGAAGCGCCUUGGGUUAAUACCCUGGGGUGUUGACGUUACCCACAAAAGAAGCACCGGCUAACUCCGUGCCAGCAGCCGCGGUAAU